rnacentral:rRNA from 1 species
CCUACGGGAGGCAGCAGUAGGGAAUAUUGGGCAAUGGGCGGAAGCCUGACCCAGCCAUGCCGCGUGCAGGAUGACGGCGUUAUGCGUUGUAAACUGCUUUUUUAUAGGAAGAAGGAGACCUUGCGAGGUUUGGUGACGGUACUAUAAGAAUAAGCACCGGCUAACUCCGUGCCAGCAGCCGCGGUAAUACGGAGGGUGCGAGCGUUGUCCGGAUUUAUUGGGUUUAAAGGGUGCGUAGGCGGUUUAUUAAGUCAGUGGUGAAAGACGGUCGCUCAACGAUUGCAGUGCCAUUGAUACUGGUAGACUUGAGUUCGUAUGAGGUAGCUGGAAUGGAUAGUGUAGCGGUGAAAUGCAUAGAUAUUAUCCAGAACUCCAAUUGCGUAGGCAGGUUACUAAUACGAUACUGACGCUGAUGCACGAAAGUGUGGGGAUCAAACAGGAUUAGAUACCCUGGUAGUCCACACUGUAAACGAUGAUGACUAACUGUUUGCCCUUUGGGGUGAGUGGUACAGAGAAAUCGUUAAAGUCAUCCACCUGGGAGUAACGCCGGNAACGGUUGAAACUUCAAAGGAAUUGACGGCGNGAGAGNGCGAGACGACGACGAGGAGGAGG